GUCUACGGCCAUGUCAUCCUGAAUAAGCCCGAUGUCUGAUCUUGGAAGCUAAGCAGGGUCAGGUGUGGUUAGUACCCGGAUGGGAGACCACCUAGGAAGACCAGGUGCUGUAGGCA
rnacentral:rRNA from 1 species